rnacentral:rRNA from 1 species
UAGCGUAAUCACUUGUCCCCUAAAUAAAGACUAGUAUGAACGGCUACAUGAGGGCCUAACUGUCUCCUCUAGCAACUCAAUGAAACUGAUCUCCCAGUACAAAAGCUGGAAUAAACACAUAAGACGAGAAGACCCUGUGGAGCUUCAGGUCCAGCACUAACCCACCACCAUAGUGCCCCCCUUUAGUUGGGGCGACUACGGAACAAAACAAAACUUCCACGCCACUGGCCAACCCCCACACAACGGUGCACACACCUAUGUUACUCCACCACACGAUCCAGUACAACUGAUUAACGAACAAAGUUACCCCAGGGAUAACAGCGCCAUCCUCUUCCAGAGCCCAUAUCGCCAAGAGGGUUUACGACCUCGAUGUUGGAUCAGGACCCCCAGGUGGUGCAGCCGCUACCAAAGGUUCGUUUGUUCAACGAUUAA